UGACUUGUGAAAGCUCUUGAAGACUCGACUUGAGCAGGUCCAGAGACCGUUUGAGCUGAGUUUGCAGCUUCUGUUGGGCUGUUUUGAGCUUAGUGAUAGAGCCAUCUACAGGAGAGGCUAGGGAUCGUGGCAAGGGAG